UGACCAUUUUCACUCACCUUAAUUUACUUCCGAUGGAGUUUCGAGGCGCCACCCGAGUAGGUGAUCUAAUAACUUUAGUUCCGGAGUGAUUUGAUGCAUAGCGAGGUGAUGAGGAAAGAAAACAGUGUGCUUUGUUGUUAUUGUUGCUAAUAUUACUUUGCCGCCAUAUUCGAAGCAAAGAAUGCAUUUUUCUAAAUUUUCACAGACACGUUCAAAAAGAAUCCUGAAGAAGGUGGCAACACUUCAAGCUGUAAAGCUAUUUGCAGAUUUUAAAAUUCAUACUUUUGAUAUUUCAAAAACGUGUAUAUUGAAUUCAAAACAUGUGUACAGUACCACUGGCAAAAUAAAACUGCAUGGAAACACUACAGAUUACAAUGAUUUUAAACAUAAACGUGAAGUCAUGUUUCUGCUUCUCGUAUUUGCAAUAUUUAAUUUUAAUUACACAAUGACCUUAAAUUAAAUCAUUUACCACAAAGUUUAAAUAUUCUUUUAAAACUUAAUGUACGUAUUCAAAAACACCUGAAACUCCGCGAAAAUUUAUAACGAGAACGGAAUUUUUAAAUUAUAUGGAAUUAAAUUCCAAUCAUUACCAAGAUCAUGGCUUUUUAUACCUAAACAUACUUGUUUUUCAUUGUUGUGAUUAAAUGUAAUUAUAAUGCAUCCGGUGAACUAUUCAUGCACCCCCCUUGCAAGCAUUCCUCCAUUAUCGCUCGUUGUGAGGGACUACAUUUUUGCAUGCAUAUUACAGCCAACCAAGAAGCUUUGUUGUCCUGUAUGUCUGUACCGAUUUUGCCACUUAUAUCAGAAUCACCAAAACAAUCGAUGAAAUCGUCUUGUACUUGAUAUAAAUGACUCAUUUCUAAGAGAAUAAUUUUUGAUUCCUCAAAUACCGCUUUGUUCUUUACACUAAAAUUAUUUAUUUAAAUUAUUCAUUGAAUUAAAUUUAGAAUUAAAACUGAAAACUCACCCUGCUAAAUGCAAAGCGGCUGCUACAGGAAAAUAAAAAGAAUAAUAGCCAGUUUUUGUCGCACUAAUUACAUUGUAUUUGCUUAUAUUAAAAUCGGUUACUUUUUUCUUUGCAUAUAUAUUAUCCAUUGAUUGUCCCGAAGUCGUAAUAAAAGUUAUUUGAUGAAAUAGUUCUAGUAAAUCAAGGUAACAAUCCAAAUGGCGAAAAUGUUUACGCAGCAGCACAUAUAUUCCAUUUUCAAUCAUCAUAGCAUCGUUGAUAGCUAUAAUGCCAACAUCAUUCAUUUUGUGCCAGCACAAUUGACCACGACGUGUAACGCUGUCGUCCACAAUGUCAUCAAGUAUGAGGAAGAAACAUUGCAACUGUGAACAAAAUACAUUUUGAGAUUUAAGUUAUAAAUUUAAUCAAAAAAAGGUUUUUUUAAAUUUCGAAAACAAAUAUAAACAAAGACAAAUC